rnacentral:sRNA from 2 species
CCUGAUCUGGAGCCGAGCUCUGCCAGCGGAUCGGGAGCAUCAAGUCAUAACUGGCAGAGGCGGGGGAACCACAACUGGCAGCGGGGGACUGCCUUGGGGUGAAGUCCGUCAGCAGCAAGCCUCUUCCAGUGAAGGAACCUUCCGGGAAAUUCUCUGUGCCGCAGCUUGCUUACGGCGGACCGGGUCUGUGCACUCUCUGACCCGAAUCCGACAGCUAACUUCGCAGGCUAUCCAGAGAGGAACC